GAUGAAGAACGUAGCGAAAUGCGAUACGUAAUGUGAAUUGCAGAAUUCAGUGAAUCAUCGAAUCUUUGAACGCAUAUUGCGCUCUUUGGUAUUCCGAAGAGCAUGCUUGUUUGAGUAUCAGUAAACACCUCAACCUCUUCUUGAUUUUUCAAAAGGAGGGUGGACUUGAGCUAUCCCAACAACCUUUACCGGUCGGCGGGCGGCUUGAAAUGCAGGUGCAGCUGGACUUUUAUCUGAGCUAAAAGCAUAUCUAUUUAGUCCUCGUCAAACAGGAUUAUUACUUUUGCUGCAGCUAACAUAAAGGAUAAUUGUCCUCUUUGCUGACUGAUGAAGGAUUUUACGACACUUUAUGUGUUGUUCAACUCGAUCUCAAAUCAAGUAAGACUACCCGCUGAACUUAAGCAUAUCAAUAAGCGGAGGA
rnacentral:misc_RNA from 1 species